rfam:Erinaceus europaeus unplaced genomic scaffold scaffold00047, whole genome shotgun sequence
GAAUGUGAGGGCCAUCUGGCUGUGACAUCUGUCACCUCAUUGAUCGCCAGGGUUGAUUUGACUGAUCUGGCUGGAUAGGUGGGUAUCCCUUUCCUCCCUCACCACUUCAUGUGUGUCCCUCUCAUAGCUGCAUGUUUCUCUGAAUAAAGAUGGACCAGGCUUUGGUUGAGGGUAUAUGAGUAGCUGUGCUUCCCUGCUAGAACCUCUAAACAGUUUCUCAAAGCAAACUAUACAAAAUAAAUGGGUUUAAACUAUCUUUGACCAUGAACUAUAGUAAAAAAUGAUAUCUUCAAUAAAUUUUUUAUUAU